rnacentral:rRNA from 1 species
CCUACGGGAGGCAGCAGUGAGGAAUAUUGGUCAAUGGGCGAGAGCCUGAACCAGCCAAGUCGCGUGAAGGAUGACUGCUCUAUGGGUUGUAAACUUCUUUUAUAUGGGAGUAAAAUGUUCCACGAGUGGGAUUUUGUAUGUACCAUAUGAAUAAGGAUCGGCUAACUCCGUGCCAGCAGCCGCGGUAAUACGGAGGAUCCGAGCGUUAUCCGGAUUUAUUGGGUUUAAAGGGAGCGUAGGUGGUUUGUUAAGUCAGUUGUGAAAGUCUGCGGCUCAACCGUGAAAUUGCAGUUGAAACUGGCAGACUUGAGUACAGUAGAGGUAGGCGGAAUUCGUAGUGUAGCGGUGAAAUGCUUAGAUAUCACGAAGAACACCGAUUGCGAAGGCAGCUCACUGGACUGGAACUGACACUGAGGCUCGAAAGUGUGGGUAUCAAACAGGAUUAGAUACCCCUGUAGUC